rnacentral:tRNA from 1 species
GCCUGGGUGGCUCAGUCGGUGAAGCGUCUGACUCAUGGUGUCAGCUCGGCUCAGGUCACGAUCUUGAGGUUUGUGGGUUCGAGCCCCAUGUCAGGCU